rnacentral:lncRNA from 1 species
GGAAGGGCCAGCCCACUGGGGAUGUCCCCCCAGUCCAGAGCAAGGCUCUCACCCAGGACCCCCAUGGCCUAACAGAACCCUGGGGUCUUCCUGACCCCACAACCCCUACUCCUCACGGCCCCUUUUCUCAGCCUCCAUGGAAGCUUGGAGAUGCCAGUUGGAGAGAAUGAAACCUCAGCGGCCCUUCCCGGUCUCCACCCGCAGGCUGAUAGCACAGAGCCGCUUCAGGAACGGGCUGGCCUCGCUCUCACCUGCUCUCUUGAGCAGUCCGUGAUGGCUGUCAGAGAAAUGCCUGCUUUAAUUAGUUCUUCACUGAUUACUACUAAGUGGCAUGUUAGGCUCUUCCCUUGGAUCACUCAACGCUUACAUCACCUUUGUGGGAUUGGUCCAAUUACUAUCCCCCUUUCACAGAUGAGGAAACAGGAGUAAGAGAAACUGAGGAAAAGACUUUGCCAAGGUUCCACAGCUGAGGAGGAAGCUAGGUACAAAGAGGUGAUGCAACUACGGACUGUCCCACAGCGAGAAAGUGACAGAGCCAGGAUAGCCAGGCCGUGUGAGUCCAAAGCUUUUCAGCUGUGUUCUGAAGGCAAAGGAGUGACAGGCUUUGAUCUGUGGUUUAGAACAAAGGCUCAGGCUGCAGUCUGGAUGCUGGGUUGCAGGGAAAGACCCUGGCAUCUGGAACUUAGAGCCUGUGGUCAUCGUCUAGGUCUCAGAUGAGGCAGUGGGUGGGAAGGAAGAGCAGUAGAUGCCACACUGGCAGAACAUGGUGGAGGGGUCCGGGAUGGGGCCUGGGCUUGUGGUAUGGGUGACUCGGGGGAUGGCGAUACCUCCCCUGCAAUGGGAACAGAAAUGGAGGUGCCAGUGUGGCUCAUGGCUCUGAGGGCUGGGUUUUGAGACUUGCAGAGUAUCUUGGAGUCGGCCUUGGCCUCAGCUCCUGGGAAACAGGAUGCAGACCCCCCCGACCUGCAAGCUCGUGGACUUUCUUCCUCCGCCCCCUGAAAGCUGGCAGCAUCUGAGGCUCCCAUUGCAGUCGUGGGCUGUCUGAUCCUGAAGGCUGGGCUUCAGCCUGCCCUCCACCCCCACACGGGUCUGAGAGCCU